AUUGAACGCUGGCGGCAUGCCUUACACAUGCAAGUCGAACGGCAGCACGGGAGCAAUCCUGGUGGCGAGUGGCGAACGGGUGAGUAAUAUAUCGGAACGUGCCCAGUCUGGGGGAUAACGUAGCGAAAGCUACGCUAAUACCGCAUACUAUCUAUGGAUGAAAGCGGGGGAUCGCAAGACCUCGCGCGAUUGGAGCGGCCGAUAUCAGAUUAGGUAGUUGGUGAGGUAAAGGCUCACCAAGCCGACGAUCUGUAGCUGGUCUGAGAGGACGACCAGCCACACUGGGACUGAGACACGGCCCAGACUCCUACGGGAGGCAGCAGUGGGGGAAUUUUUGGGACAAUGGGCGCAAGCCUGAUCCAGCAAUGCCGCGUGCAGGAUGAA
rnacentral:rRNA from 1 species